rnacentral:lncRNA from 1 species
GUCAUGUUCAAUAUAAACAAAGAACGCAAUGCAUCAGGUAACGUCAAUUCAUAUCAAAGACAAAGAAUUAUUAAAAAUGAAAUAUUGGUAUUGUGUUCCUUGAGUUCCUAUAUUUUACUAGACUACUCAAAGUCUCACGACAACGAGACCGGAAGAAGGAAGUAGAUUUCUGCGUUCUGCGCAAAUGCGGGAAUUAAAAAA